rnacentral:lncRNA from 1 species
AUUUUUUUUAAGAGAAAAUGAGUGAUUUUCGCUUAAAUCGGUUUUUUUUCGAAGAGAAAAUGCAUGAUUUGGGGGAUAAAAGGGGGAUUUCUGAAGAGAAAAUGGGUGAUUUUUGCGUAAAUGAGGGAUUUUUGAAGAGAAAAUGCAUGAUUUUGGGGAUGAAUGGGGGAUUUUUGAAGAGAAAAUGGGUGAUUUUUGCGUAAAUGUGGGAUUUUCGAAGAGAAAAUGGGUGAUUUUGGGGAUAAAUGGGGGAUUUUUGAAGAGAAAAUGGGUGAUUUUCGGGUUAAAUGGGGGAUUUUCAAAGAGAAACAGCAUGAUUUUUGGGUUAAAUGGGGAAUUUUCGAAAAGAAAACAGGUGAUUUUCAGGUUAAAUGGGGGAUUUUCAAAGAGAAAAUGGGUGAUUUUCGCUUAAAUCGGGGAUUUUUGAAGAGAAAAUGGGUGAUUUCUGCAUAAAUGAGGGAUUUUUAAAAAGAAAACGGGUGAUUAUUGUGCUAAAUGGAAGAUUUUCAAAGAAAAAUGGAUUAUUUUCGCUAAAAUGAAGGAUUUUCAAAGAGUAAAUGAAUGAUUUUUGCUUAAAUUGGGGAUUUUCAAUGAGAAAAUGGGUGAUUUUCACUAAAAUGAGGGAUUAUCAAAGAGAAAAUAAGUGAUUUUUGCGUAAAUGAGGGAUUUUCGAAGAGAAAAUGGGUGAUUUUUGUGGAAAAUGGGGGAUUUUCAAAGAGAAAAUGGGUGAU